rnacentral:snRNA from 1 species
GUGUACACUUAUAGAGAAUGUA